AGAACGAACGCUGGCGGCAUGCCUAAUACAUGCAAGUCGAACGAAGGCUUCGGCCUUAGUGGCGCACGGGUGCGUAACGCGUGGGAAUCUGCCCCUUGGUUCGGAAUAACAGUUGGAAACGACUGCUAAUACCGGAUGAUGACGAAAGUCCAAAGAUUUAUCGCCAAGGGAUGAGCCCGCGUAGGAUUAGCUAGUUGGUGAGGUAAAGGCUCACCAAGGCGACGAUCCUUAGCUGGUCUGAGAGGAUGAUCAGCCACACUGGGACUGAGACACGGCCCAGACUCCGUACGGGAGGCAGCAGUAGGGAAUAGUUGGACAAGUGGGGACGAAA
rnacentral:rRNA from 1 species